rnacentral:rRNA from 1 species
GAGUUUGAUCGUGGCUCAGGAUGAACGCUGGCGGCGUGCCUAACACAUGCAAGUCGAACGGAUCCAUAUUGAAACCUAGUGAUGUAUGGAUUAGUGGCGGACGGGUGAGUAACGCGUGGAUAACCUGCCGUAUACAGGGGGAUAACACUUAGAAAUAGGUGCUAAUACCGCAUAAGCGCACGGUUCCGCAUGGAACAGUGUGAAAAACUCCGGUGGUAUACGAUGGAUCCGCGUCUGAUUAGCCAGUUGGCGGGGUAACGGCCCACCAAAGCGACGAUCAGUAGCCGGCCUGAGAGGGUGAACGGCCACAUUGGGACUGAGACACGGCCCAAGCUCCUACGGGAGGCAGCAGUGGGGAAUAUUGCACAAUGGGGGAAACCCUGAUGCAGCGACGCCGCGUGAGUGAAGAAGUAUUUCGGUACGUAAAGCUCUAUCAGCAGGGAAGAAAAAAAGUACCUUUGGACUUUGGACGGUACCUGACCAAGAAGCCCGGCUAACUACGUGCCAGCAGCCGCAGUAAC